rnacentral:tRNA from 1 species
CCCUUGGUAGUCUAGUUGGUUAUGGCGUUCGGCUGUAAUUGUUACGAUUGUUACCGAAAAGUCACCGGUUCGAUUCCGGUCCGAGGGA